ACCAGACGUGGCUGAGAGGUGCCAAGAUUUGGCACUGUGCUGCAUUGAGCGCCAAGGUAACGGCACUAGCAAGCUGAGCAAGGCGCUAGGGUGUGAUCGAGCAGAGACUGGCCCGGAGGCACUGGCAGAGGUGCUGAGAGAGGGCUGGCUUGAGGCACCGAGUGGUACUGGAGUGCUGAGUGAGGCGCUGGAGAGCAGCCGAAGGCGCUAGCAGAGGCGCUGAGAGGAGGCACCGAGCAGAGACUGCACUAGGGCGCUGAGCAAGGUGCUGAGAGGCGGAGAGACUGCACUAGGGCGCUGAGCAAGGCGCUGAGGCGCUGGCACAGGCGCUGAGAGAGGGCUGGCGUGAGGCACCGAGCACAGGCACGAGCAGAUAGGCACUGGCAGAGGCGCUGAGAGAGGAGAGACUGCGAUCAGAGGCCGUGAACGAGGCGCUAGGGCGUGCGAGGCCUCGUAGAGACUCACCAGAGGUGAGUGCCGGGCCUAGAGGCACGAGGCACCGAGGGCUGGCCAAGCAGAGACUCCACUGGAGCGCUGAGUGAGGCGCUGCUGUGAGAAGGCAUUGGCAGAGGCGCUGAGAGGAGGCACUGAGCAGAGACAGAUUUCUGUCGUGGAUAUGACAGAGUGCUUGGAUGCAGAGGGAGAGUGAUCUCAGAUUCAUGUCAUCGAGAUCGAGAGGGAGUGUUGAGGUAUACGCUCUCUAUGACAUGAUCCUAGGUAGCAGGAGUGCCACUUCAUUGAUCCAGGUGUAGGCUAGAGGUGUGUCUCUUCAUCAUGUAUAUAUAGCUAUGAUAUAUACGACUAUACUGAGAGUCAUCCACCAUCGUAGCUUCUGCUCUUCUUCUCUUCAUGUGUUAUGAAAUGGGGACUCCCAGCCUUGUGAGUGCAGCAGCGCUCCAUGCUGGGUCCACCUUUAUUGCGGAAGACAGAUCAAGAACAGAAUGUGUUGGGCGUGAUCACCUACAGAACCUAAACGGAUGUGUCCCUUCUGCUGACGUGGCAUCCCAGCUUGAGAUUGCGGCUUAAGUCCUCAACACUCCCACUCGAGCUAAGUUGGGGUCAGCCUCGAGCAACUGCACACCAAGAGCUUGGACAUGCUUGGAGAAUGCAGCUAGGGGCAGAGCUUUUGUGAAAACAUCUGCCACCUGAUCUCCCGUCGCACA
rnacentral:lncRNA from 1 species